UACGGAGGGUGCCAGCGUUGUACGGAUUUAUUGGGUUUAAAGGGUGCGUAGGCGGAUGAUUCAGUCAGUGGUGAAAGCCCACAGCUCAACUGUGGAACUGCCAUUGAUACUGGUUAUCUUGAGUAUAGUUGAGGCAGGCGGAAUUUACGAUGUAGCGGUGAAAUGUAUAGAUAUCGUAAAGAACACCGAUAGCGAAGGCAGCUUGCUAAACUAUAACUGACUCUGAGGCACGAAAGCAUGGGGAGCAAACAGG
rnacentral:misc_RNA from 1 species